rnacentral:rRNA from 1 species
AUUGAACGCUGGCGGCAUGCUUUACACAUGCAAGUCGAACGGCAGCAUGACCUAGCUUGCUAGGUCGAUGGCGAGUGGCGAACGGGUGAGUACUGCAACGGAACGUACCCAGUAAUGGGGGAUAACGCACCGAAAGGUGUGCUACUACCGCAUAAGCCCUGAGGGGGAAGGCGGGGGAUCGUACGACCUGGCGUUGUUGGAGUGGCCGAGGCCGGAUUAGCUAGGUGGUGGGGUAAAGGCCUACCAAGGCGACGCUCCGUAGCUGGUCUGAGAGGACGACCAGCCACACUGGGACUGAGACACGGCCCAGACUCCUACGGGAGGCAGCAGUGGGGAAUUUUGGACAAUGGGCGCAAGCCUGAUCCAGCCAUGCCGCGUGAGUGAAGAAGGCCUUCGGGUUGUAAAGCUCUCUCGCAAGGAAAGAAAACUUAGCUACUAAUACUAGCUGAGGAUGACGGUACCUUGAUAAGAAGCACCGGCUAACUACGUGCCAGCCGCCGCUGGAA